GUGAGGAAUUUUCCGCAAUGGGCGAAAGCCUGACGGAGCAAUGCCGCGUGAAGGAUGAAGGCCUAUGGGUUGUAAACUUCUUUUCUCAGAAAAGAAUUAUGACGGUAUCUGAGGAAUAAGCAUCGGCUAACUCUGUGCCAGCAGCCGCGGUAAGACAGAGGAUGCAAGCGUUAUCCGGAAUGAUUGGGCGUAACGCGUCUGUAGGUUGUUUAAAAAGUAUUCUGUCAAAGAUUAGGGCUUAACCCUAGAUAGGCAGAAUAAACUUUUAAGCUAGAGUUUGGUAGAGGCAGAGGGAAUUCCCGGUGGAGCGGUGAAAUGCGUAGAUAUCGGGAGGAACACCAAAGGCGAAGGCACUCUGCUGGGCCAAUACUAACACUGAGAGACGAAAGCGAGGGGAGCAAAUGGGAUUAGAUACCCCUGUAGUCC
rnacentral:rRNA from 1 species